AGGUAGAGAAGAGGUUAGUGUCCUCCAUGUUGUUCAGGUAGAGAAGAGGUUAGUGUCCUCCAUGUUGUUCAGGUAGAGAAGAGGUUAGUGUCCUCCAUGUUGUUCAGGUAGAGAAGAGGUUAGUGUCCUCCAUGUUGUUCAGGUAGAGAAGAGGUUAGUGUCUUCCAUGUUGUUCAGGUAGAGAAGAGGUUAGCGUCCUCCAUGUUGUUCAGGUAGAGAAGAGGUUAGCGU